rnacentral:tRNA from 2 species
GCCGACGUAGCCCAAUGGCAGAGGCACAGCGCUUAGGACGCUGCAAGUGAGAGUUCGAGUCUCUCCGUCGGCA